rnacentral:sRNA from 1 species
CACCGCCUGGGGAGUACGACCGCAAGGUUAAAACUCAAAUGAAUUGACGGGGACCCGCACAAGUAGUGGAGCAUGUGGUUUAAUUCGAAGAUACGCGCAGAACCUUACCAACACUUGACAUGUUCGUCGCGACUCUAAGAGAUUAGAGUUUUCGGUUCGGCCGGACGAAACACAGGUGCUGCAUGGCUGUCGUCAGCUCGUGUCGUGAGAUGUUGGGUUAAGUCCCGCAACGAGCGCAACCCUCACUUUUAGUUGCCAUCAUUUAGUUGGGCACUCUGAAAGAACUGCCAGUGAUAAGCUGGAGGAAGGUGGGGAUGACGUCAAGUCCUCAUGGCCCUUACGUGUUGGGCUACACACGUGCUACAAUGGUAUCUACAACAGGAAGCAAGACUGCGAGGUCAAGCAAAUCCUUAAAAGAUACCUCAGUUCGGAUUGCACUCUGCAACUCGAGUGCAUGAAGCUGGAAUUACUAGUAAUCGUGGAUCAGCGUGCCACGGUGAAUGCGUUCCCGGGUCUUGUACACACCGCCCGUCACACCAUGGGAGUUGGUUCUACCUUAAGGCAAGGUUUAAAACCCUUGACCACGGUAUAGUCAGCGACUGGGGUGAAGUCGUAACAAGGUAGCCGUAGGGGAACCUGCGGCUGGAUUACCUCCUUUCUAAGGAUGAAUAAAAGUAAAAUUUUAUUCUAAAUAAUAUACAGGUAAUGUUGACCGUCCUCAUUUCUCUUCUUAAAAUAGUGUUUCUCUUGCAUGGGGGCCGGUAGCUCAGUUGGUUAGAGCACACCCUUGAUAAGGGUGGGGUCGAAAGUUCGAGUCUUUCUCGGCCCACCAAUUUAAGAUUAAGGGGGAUUAGCUCAGCUGGGAGAGCGCCUGAUUUGCAUUCAGGAGGUCAGCGGUUCGAUCCCGCUAUCCUCCACCAAAACACUUAGUUAUAAAAAAUUGUGAAUAUAAAAAAUAAUUAAUAUCAAUAUCUAUAUCCGAACAUUAGUAAUGUUAUUAGCUAAUGUUCAAAAUAAAAAUUUGAUUCAACACAGAAUUUUUUUCUG